AACCUCCGCAAUGUGAGAAAUCGCGACGGGGGGAUCCCAAGUGCCAUUCUUAACGGGAUGGCUUUUCAUUAGUGUAAAGAGCUUUUGGAAUAAGAGCUGGGCAAGACCGGUGCCAGCCGCCGCGGUAACACCGGCAGCUCUAGUGGUAACAAUUUUUAUUGGGCCUAAAGCGUCCGUAGCCGGUUUAAUAAGUCUCUGGUGAAAUCCUGUAGCUUAACUGUGGGAAUUGCUGGAGAUACUAUUAGACUUGAGACCGGGAGAGGUUAGAGGUACUCCCAGGGUAGAGGUGAAAUUCUGUAAUCCUGGGAGGACCGCCUGUUGCGAAGGCGUCUAACUGGAACGGUUCUGACGGUGAGGGACGAAAGUUAGGGGCGCGAACCGGAUUAGAUACCCGGGUAGUCCUAACUGUAAACGAUGCGGACUUGGUGUUGGGGUGGCUUUGAGCUGCUCCAGUGCCGAAGGGAAGCUGUUAAGUCCGCCGCCUGGGAAGUACGGUCGCAAGACUGAAACUUAAAGGAAUU
rnacentral:rRNA from 1 species